GACGAACGCUGGCGGCGUGCCUAAUACAUGCAAGUCGAGCGCAGGAAACCGUCUGAACCCUUCGGGGGGACGACGGCGGAAUGAGCGGCGGACGGGUGAGUAACACGUAAAGAACCUGCCCACGGGUCUGGGAUAACCACGAGAAAUCGGGGCUAAUACCGGACGGGUCAUCGGACCGCAUGGUCCGAGGAUGAAAGGCGCUCCGGCGUCGCCCGUGGAUGGCUUUGCGGUGCAUUAGCUAGUUGGUGGGGUAACGGCCCACCAAGGCGACGAUGCAUAGCCGACCUGGGAGGGGGAUCGGCCACACUGGGACUGAGAAACGGCCCAGACGCCUACGGGAGGCAGCAGUAGGGAAUCUUCCACAAUGGACGAAAGUCUGAUGGAGCAACGCCGCGUGAACGAUGAAGGCCCUCGGGUCGUAAAGUUCUGUUGUAAGGGAAGAACAAGUGCCGCAGGCAAUGGCGGCACCUUGACGGUACCUUGCGAGAAAGCCACGGCUAACUACGUGCCAGCCGCCGCCGUAACAC
rnacentral:rRNA from 1 species